rnacentral:rRNA from 1 species
AAUCUUCUUUCAGUUCCUAAACUCACACGUGAUAAUAAUGUGCUUUGUGAAUUUCACCCUUUUGAUCUUUUUAUUAAGGAUCGGGGCACGAGGGACAUUCUUCUUAGUGGGCGGUUGUGCCAGGGCCUCUACCGUCUGGAGCAUCCUGGUGUCGCUCAUGUUUUCAGUGGAGUUCGGGUCUCUCCGUCACAGUGGCAUGCUCGUCUUGGUCACCCGGCCACACCUAUUGUCCGUCAUAUUUUGCGUCAUCAUGAGCUUCCUAGUUUGUCUAGUCAUAAAGAUGUAGCAGUGUGUGAUGCUUGUCAGCAGGGGAAGAGUCAUCAACUUCCUUUUUUGGAGUCCAGUCAUGAGGUGAAACAUCCUUUAGAACUUGUGUUUUCAGAUGUAUGGGGUCCUGCUCAGACUUCUGUCAGUGGUCAUAAUUACUAUAUCAGUUUCGUUGAUGCUUAUAGUCGC